GGGGCCGAUCGGUAUCGACCGGGCAGGGAAGGCUCGGCGUUGCACGUCGAGGUGUACGAAAACCUCGUUAAACCACGUACAAAAAACUUAAUUGCCAACGAUAAUAUCGCUGGUCGUAUUGGCUUCGCGCCAGUACGUAUGGCUGCCUAAUAGUGCUGCCCAUCAUGUCAAGGAGUGUCUGCGGCUGAGACAUGGUGCAAAAGACAGUAGACUCGCUGGAUGACUGUAUUUCAGGGUCUGAAGGUUAAAUAACACUGAGAUUGGGUGAUAAGGAGACUGUCGUUGGUCGCCUUUGAUCCGAGAUCAAAUUAACGACUAUGCGUGUAGAAGCGUCUUGGUGACUGCUAUUCGGGACGGGAGUUCGAUUCUCCCCGGCUCCA
rnacentral:tmRNA from 1 species